GAUGAACGCUGGCGGCGUGCCUAAUACAUGCAAGUCGAGCGAACAGACGAGGAGCUUGCUCCUCUGACGUUAGCGGCGGACGGGUGAGUAACACGUGGAUAACCUACCUAUAAGACUGGGAUAACUUCGGGAAACCGGAGCUAAUACCGGAUAAUAUAUUGAACCGCAUGGUUCAAUAGUGAAAGACGGUUUUGCUGUCACUUAUAGAUGGAUCCGCGCCGCAUUAGCUAGUUGGUAAGGUAACGGGUUACCAAGGCAACGAUGCGUAGCCGACCUGAGAGGGUGAUCGGCCACACUGGAACUUAGACACGGUCCAGACUCCUACGGGAGGCAGCAGUAGGGAAUCUUCCGCAAUGGGCGAAAGCCUGACGGAGCAACGCCGCGUGAGUGAUGAAGGUCUUCGGAUCGUAAAACUCUGUUAUUAGGGAAGAACAAAUGUGUAAGUAACUAUGCACGUCUUGACGGUACCUAAUCAGAAAGCCACGGCUAACUACGUG
rnacentral:rRNA from 1 species